rnacentral:rRNA from 1 species
UACGGAGGGGGUUAGCGUUGUUCGGAAUGACUGGGCGUAAAGCGCGCGUAGGCGGAUCAGGAAGUUGGGGUGAAAUCCCGGGGCUCAACCCCGGAAUGGCCUUCAAAACUCCUGGUCUUGAGUUCGAGAGAGGUGAGUGGAAUUCCGAGUGUAGAGGUGAAAUUCGUAGAUAUUGGGAAGAACACCAGUGGCGAAGGCGGCUAUCUGGACCGGUACUGACGCUGAGGUGCGAAAGCGUGGGGAGCAAACAGG